rnacentral:rRNA from 1 species
AUUGAACGCUGGCGGCAGGCCUAACACAUGCAAGUCGAGCGAGCGGCGGACGGGUGAGUAAUGUCUGGGAAACUGCCUGAUGGAGGGGGAUAACUACUGGAAACGGUAGCUAAUACCGCAUACCAUCAGAUGUGCCCAGGUGGGAUUAGCGAGUAGGUGGGGUAACGGCUCACCUAGGCGACGAUCCCUAGCUGGUCUGAGAGGAUGACCAGCAAAACUGAAACUGAGACACGGUCCAGACUCAGACGGGAGGCAGCAGUGGGGAAUAUUGCACAAGUGGCGCAAGCCUGAGGCAGCCAUGCCGGGUGUAUGAAGAAGGCCUUCGGGUUGUAAAGCACUUUCAGCGGGGAGGCGUUACCCGCAGAAGAAGCACCGGCUAACUCCGUGCCAGCAGCCGCGGUAAUUC